AGAGUUUGAUCCUGGCUCAGAACGAACGCUGGCGGCAGGCCUCAAACAUGCAAGUCUAGGGGGUGUAGCAAUACAUCACCGGCGGACGGGUGCGUAACGCGUGGGAAUAUACCUUUUGGUUCGGAACAACUGAGGGAAACUUCAGCUAAUACCGAAUGUGCCCUAACGGGGAAAGAUUUAUCGCCAAAGGAUUAGCCCGCGUAGGAUUAGCUAGUUGGUGAGGUAAUGGCUCACCAAGGCUCCGAUCCUUAGCUGUUCUGAGAGGAAGAUCAGCCACACUGGGACUGAGACACGGCCCAGACUCCUACGGGAGGCAGCAGUUGGGAAUCUUGGACAAUGGGGGAAACCCUGAUCCAGCCAUGCCGCGUGAGUGAUGAAGGCCUUCGGGUUGUAAAACUCUUUCGACGGGGACGAUAAUGACGGUACCCGUAGAAGAAGCUCCGGCUAACUUCGUGCCAGCAGCCGCGGUAAUACGAAGGGGGCUAACGUUGUUCGGAAUUACUGGGCGUAAAGCGCGCGCAGGCGGCUAUCCAAGUCAGUGGUGAAAGCCCGGAGCUCAACUCCGGAACUGCCAUUGAAACUGUUUAGCUUGAGGACGAGAGAGGUGAGUGGAAUUCCCAGUGUAGAGGUGAAAUUCGUAGAUAUUGGGAAGAACACCGGUGGCGAAGGCGGCUCACUGGCUCGUUUCUGACGCUCAGGCGCGACAGCGUGGGGAUCAAACAGGAUUAGAUACCCCGGUAGUCC
rnacentral:rRNA from 1 species